GACGAACGCUGGCGGUGUGCUUAACACAUGCAAGUGGCGCGACGAACCAGAGCUUGCUCUGGGGCAAAGCCGCGAACGGGUGAGUAACACGUGGGUAACCUGCCCCGAUGACUGGGACAACCCGGGGAAACCCGGGCUAAUACCGGAUGAUGCAUCCAGGCUUAAGCCUGGAUGCCAAAGGUAGCUUCGGCUUCCGCAUUGGGAGGGGCCCGCGGCCCAUUAGCCUGUUGGUGGGGUAAUGGCCUACCAAAGCAACGAUGGGUAGCUGGUCUGAGAGGACGAUCAGCCACACUGGGACUGAGACACGGCCCAGACUCCUACGGGAGGCAGCAGUGGGGAAUAUUGCACAAUGGGCGCAAGCCUGAUGCAGCGACGCCGCGUGAGGGAUGAAGGUCUUCGGAUUGUAAACCUCUUUCAGUAGGGACGAAGCGAAAGUGACGGUACCUAAAGAAGAAGCACCGGCUAACUACGUGCCAGCAGCCGCGGUAA
rnacentral:rRNA from 1 species